GACGAACGCUGGCGGCGUGCCUAAUACAUGCAAGUCGAACGCAGUGGGGACGGGUGAGUCACACGUGGGUAACCUCCCAUCAGAGGGGAUAACACUUGGAAACAGGUGCUAACCCGCUAUUGAAGGAUGGACCCGCGGUGCAUUAGCUAGUUGGUGAGGGAACGGCUCACCAAGGCCACGAUGCAUAGCUGACCUGAGAGGAUGAUCGGCAACACUGGAACUGAGACACGGCCCAGACUCCUACGGGAGGCAGCAGUAGGGAAUCUUCGGCAAUGGGCGAAAGUCUGACCGAGCAAUGCCGCGUGAGUGAAGAAGGUCUUCGGAUUGUAAAAUACUUUUGGUAGAGAAGCGGUAUCUAACCAGAAAGCAACGGCUAACUACGUGCCAGCAGCCGCGGUAAUAC
rnacentral:rRNA from 1 species